UCGGGAAUUUUGGGCAAUGGGCGAAAGCCUGACCCAGCAACGCCGCGUGAGGGAUGAAGUAUUUCGGUAUGUAAACCUCGAAAGAAUGGGAAGAAUAAAUGACGGUACUAUUUAUAAGGUCCGGCUAACUACGUGCCAGCAGCCGCGGUAAUACGUAGGGACCAAGCGUUGUUCGGAUUUACUGGGCGUAAAGGGCGCGUAGGCGGCAAUUCAAGUCAGCUGUGAAAUCUCUGGGCUUAACCCGGAACGGCCAGCUGAUACUGCUUUGCUAGAGUGCGGAAGGGGCAAUCGGAAUUCUUGGUGUAGCGGUAAAAUGCGUAGAUAUCAAGAGGAACACCUGAGCUGAAGACGGGUUGCUGGGCCGACACUGACGCUGAGGCGCGAAAGCCAGGGG
rnacentral:rRNA from 1 species